GUGGAGAGCCUGGGACUGAGGUGGAGGCAACAGCAGAAUAAUGAGCCACCAACUGGGAACAACCCAUAGGCCCAACAGCUCCAGAACGGGCAUCCACACCACAGAAUUCAUGCUGCAACGAGAAUGAAUAAGACGAGUGCUACGCGCAACAACACUGGUGACUGUCGCAAACACCAUGUUGCAGGAAGGACAUUACGGAUAAGAGAGUAAACAUGGUAUGAUUCCAUAGAUGUGGAUUUUAAAACAGGCAAAGUGAGUGGACGGUGUAAGUGAGGGCGGUAGUCACCCUUGGGAAUUAAGGGGUGGGAGGGCGCAGGAGAGGGGCUGGCAGGGACGUCCUGUUUCUUGGUUGGAGGCUGGAAGGGACGUCUUGUUUCUUGGUUGAGAUACUGGUUACACGAUGUGUUCACUUGGUGAAAUCCAUCCAGCUGUUUCCUGACAAUGUGUAUAUUUUUCUGGGGUGCACUUUAAUAAAAGGUUGGAAAAAUGUUAUCCGUCUGUGGCCAUACCACCCAGAACGCACUCGAUCUCAUCUUAUCUCCAAAGCUAAGCAUGGUUGGCCUGGUUAGUACUUGGAUGGGAGAAAACUGUUAUCCUACCUUGACCAAAUGGCUUUCCCUCUUUAAGCUUGGUUUCCUCUUCUACAAAAUAUGGAUAAUGUUGCCUUGGUCAUAGGGCUAAGGUUAUAUAGAGGUUUAAUUAAUAUGAACACUGUCAUGAACUACCUAAAACAGGUUAGGUGCUUCAUAAAUUUUGACUAUUGGCCAAGCACGGUGGCUCGUGCCUAUAAUCCCAGCACUUUGGCAGGCCGAGGCAGACAAAUCACUUGAGGCCAAGAGUUCAAGACCAGCCUGGGCAACAUGGUAAGACUCUGUCUUUACAAAAAUAAAAAUAAAUGACUCUUAUUAUGAUUUUUAUUACUAAUAAUAUCUUUUUCAUAGACUUACAUGUCUCUGAAUGCCUAAGGUGUUUUUUAAAAAAAAAAAAAAAACUGGGGAAAAUGCCAUUAUUAUUCAAGUGAGAAAGAAAAAAACACCCCUAAAAAAGGCUACUCUGUGGGUUGAAAUUAUUUUGCUGAAAAUAGCUCCCUCUUUUGAAAAUGCUCAUUUUUUAUGCUCCCCAAAUCCCUUUUCCUAUAUGUGCUCUGUGGCUGAAAUUUUGGGGAGAGAAUGUCACACCGCUUGGAAGAAAUGUCCCCCGUCCUUUCUCCACACAUUUAGAGAACGUGACUAAGGAUGGAUUUUUCAAUUCCUCAGGAGCUGAAAACAUGUUGCAAUAGAGUUUAUACCUCUCAGCCCAGAUUUUCCUCCACUUUUUAUGGAGCUGUGUGUCAUGAAAAGGUUUAGUGGUUCACCCAUGCCCUUCCACGGCCUGAAUGCGAUUUCCAGCCCCUGGAGAAAUUCCCCAUGCUUCACGGCUGGAAGCAAAGCUUUUGCACUCUGGAUAUCACAUUACAUCAACUUAGAAAGUGUAAUCCUGGAAUUAGCCAUUGGCCGCUGAAAAACAGACACAGCUAGUCACAGCUGAGGGAGGAGAAAGGCCUCAGAAGGAAGCCUGGGCUCCAGAUCAAGGGGAGGCCCAAAGGAUCAGCAGUGAGGGACCUCAGUCCUCCCUGUAAAGGGCUGGCUGAUGCUGGCUGGUCCCAGGCAUUUCCCUCACCCUCUGCGAGACAGGCCUGUCUGCCCACAGGCACAGGGUCUGCGGGUCCAGGAUAGAGAUGCCUAAGGGUCCUGCUGAUGCACUUGGGCAGACUUGACUUCAAUGUCCAGGCAAGUCUGAUGUGAUGUAUCACAGAAAUGGUGGCUGCCUCUCUGCCACAUCACUGGCUCACUCUUCCUUAAAAGGAUGGGAUUCAGACCGGGCACAGUGGCUCACACCUGUAAUCCCAACACUUUGGGAGGCCGAGGC
rnacentral:lncRNA from 10 species